rnacentral:tRNA from 1 species
ACCUGGCUGGCUCAAAUGGUAGAGCACGUGAUUCCUGGUCUUGGUGUUGUGGGUUCUAGCCCCACGCUGGGUG